rnacentral:misc_RNA from 1 species
GAUGAAGAACGUAGCGAAAUGCGAUACUUGGUGUGAAUUGCAGAAUCCCGUGAACCAUCGAGUCUUUGAACGCAAGUUGCGCCCGAAGCCAUUAGGCCGAGGGCACGCCUGCCUGGGCGUCACACGUCGUUGCCCCCCCAUCUACUCCUUCGGGAUUGCGGGGGGCGGAUGAUGGCCUCCCGUGCGCCUCGUCGCGCGGUUGGCAUAAAUGCCAAGUCCUCGGCGACGCACGCCACGACAAUCGGUGGUUGCGAAACCUCGGUUGCCCGUCGUGUGCGGUCGUCGCGCAUCGAGGGCUCGAAAAAAUUGCCGGGCUCCGGCUCGGCUUUCAACGCGACCCCAGGUCAGGCGGGGUUACCCGCUGAAUUUAAGCAUAUCAAUAAGCGGAGGG